AUUGAACGCUGGCGGCAGGCCUAACACAUGCAAGUCGAACGAGUGGCGGACGGGUGAGUAAUGUCUGGGAAACUGCCCGAUGGAGGGGGAUAACUACUGGAAACGGUAGCUAAUACCGCAUACCAUCGGAUGUGCCCAGAUGGGAUUAGCUUGUAGGUGAGGUAACGGCUCACCUAGGCGACGAUCCCUAGCUGGUCUGAGAGGAUGACCAGCCAAACGGGAACUGAGACACGGUCAAGACUCUUACGGGAGGCAGAAGUGGGGAAGAUUGCACAAUUGGCGCAAGCCUGAUGCAGCCAGGCCGCGUGGAUGAAGAAUGACUUCGGGUUGUAAAGUACUUUCAGCGGGGAGGCGUUACCCGCAGAAGAUGCACCGGCUAACUCCGUGCCAGCAGCCGCGGUAAUAC
rnacentral:rRNA from 1 species